UCUUCUCUGCAUUGAGCUCACAUCGUUGGUGAAGCUGAUCACUUCCAUCAAAUUAAAACCACUCCCAGACUGGACUCUACUUGGGUACGAGUUCAACAGCAAGCUUCCUCUACUCAUGUCAUUUUCUUGCAUGUUUUGGUUAGUGUGAAUUUUUAUGAAGUUAUUAUACUGUAUUUGCCAUAAUUUGAUCAAAUAAAUAAAGCUGCAUUGUA